UUUUCCGGUUGAUCCCGCCGGACCCCACUGCUAUCGGGAUAAGACUAAAACAUGCUAGUUGUGCGUUUCGAGCUACGACGAGACGCAGCGUACGGCUCAGUAACACACGGCUAACCUACCUUUAGGACGAGGACAACCCCGGGAAACUGGGAUUAAUCCACGAUAGGUGAGGAGGCCUGGAAUGGUCCUUCACUUAAAGGAUAUUGGGAUCAUGCUUUCCAAUUUUGCCUAAAGAUGGGGCCAUGUCCGAUCAGGUUGUUGGUGAGGUAACGGCUCACCAAGCCUUUAACCGGUACGGGCCGUGAGAGCGGGAGCCCGGAGAUGGGCACUGAGAUAAGGGCCCAGGCCCUACGGGGUGCAGCAGUUGCGAAAACUCCGCAAUGCGCGAAAGCGUGACGGGGUUAUCCCGAGUGCCGUCCGUUGAGGGUGGCUUUUCUCCGGUGUAAGGAGCCGGAGGAAUAAGGGGGGGGCAAGACUGGUGUCAGCCGCCGCGGUAAAACCAGCUCCCCGAGUGGUGGGGACAUUUAUUGGGUUUAAAGCGUCCGUAGCUUGCCUGAUAAGUCCUCCGUUAAAUCCAACGAUCUAAUCGUUGGGCCGCGGAGGAUACUGUUAGGCUAGGGGGCGGUAGAGGCCGAUGGUAUUUCCGGAGUAGGGGUGAAAUCCUAUAAUCCCGGGAGGACCACCAGUGGCGAAGGCGAUCGGCUAGAACGCGCUCGACGGUGAGGGACGAAAGCUGGGGGAGCGAACCGGAUUAGAUACCCGGGUAGUCCCAGCUGUAAACGAUGCAGGCUAGGUGUUGGAGCGGUUACGAGCCGCUUCGGUGCCGCAGGGAAGCUGUUAAGCCUGCCACCUGGGAAGUACGGUCGCAAGGCUGAAACUUAAAGGAAUUGGCGGGGGAGCACCACAAGGCGUGAAGCUUGCGGUUUAAUUGGAGUCAACGCCGGAAAUCACUAGU
rnacentral:rRNA from 1 species